rnacentral:rRNA from 1 species
AAUGAACGCUGGCGGCAGGCCUAACACAUGCAAGUCGAGCGAGCGGCGGGCGGGUGAGUCAUGUGUAGAAAUCUGCCUGAUGGAGGGGGAUAACUAGUGGAACCGGUGGCUAAUCCCGCAUACCAUCAGCUUAACCCAGAUGGGAUUAGCUGGUAGGUGAGGUAACGGCUCACCUAGGCGACGAUCCCUAGCUGGUCUGAGAGGAUGACCAGCCACACUGGGACGGAGACACGGCCCAGACUCCUACGGGAGGCAGCAGUGGGGAAUAUUGCACAAUGGGCGAAAGCCUGAUACAGCCACGCCGCGUGUAUGAAGAAGGCCUUCGGGUUGUAAAGUACUUUCAGUCGGGAGGCGUUACCGACAGAAGAAGCACCGGCUAACUCCGUGCCAGCAGCCGCGGUAAUUC